GAUGAACGCUGGCGGCGUGCCUAAUACAUGCAAGUCGAGCGAACAGACGAGGAGCCUGCUCCUUCGACGUUAGCGGCGGACGGGUGAGUAACACGUAGGUAACCUACCUAUAAGACUGGGAUAACUUCGGGAAACCGGAGCUAAUACCGGAUAAUAUUUCGAACCGCAUGGUUCGAUAGUGAAAGAUGGCUUUGCUAUCACUUAUAGAUGGACCUGCGCCGUAUUAGCUAGUUGGUAAGGUAACGGCUUACCAAGGCAACGAUACGUAGCCGACCUGAGAGGGUGAUCGGCCACACUGGAACUGAGACACGGUCCAGACUCCUACGGGAGGCAGCAGUAGGGAAUAUUCCGCAAUGGGCGAAAGCCUGACGGAGCAACGCCGCGUGAGUGAUGAAGGUCUUCGGAUCGUAAAACUCUGUUAUUAGGGAAGAACAAACGUGUAAGUAACUGUGCACGUCUUGACGGUACCUAAUCAGAAAGCCACGGCUAACUACGUG
rnacentral:rRNA from 1 species